AGAUACAUUAUUCACCGAUUUUCCCUCCAAAUUUCAAGACAUUUGGAACAGUGGAACUGGAAUUAUUGCGUUUUAAGUGACAGUACCUUGUGUUAGUUGGUCGACGAAAAAUCAUGGAGCAAAGAGCGGUUAUUAAGUUUUGUUUUAAACUCGGUAAAACUUUCACCGAGACUCAUAAAUUGAUGAAACAAGUUUAUGGUGAUGAUUGUCUAUCCCGUACCUCAACUUACGAGUGGUUAAAUCGUUUUAAAAAUGGUGGUGAAAGCCUGGAAGACGACGAACGUUCAUGCCGUCCGAAAAGUGCUGUUAUUGAUGAAAACAUUCAAAUUGUUCGUGAUUUUGUCAAAAAAGAACCAAAAUCUUCGUUGAGAUACAUGGAAAUGGAGUUGGAGAUAUCCUAUAAGUCUUUUCAUCGCAUUUUGAUUGAGCAUUUGGGUAUGCGGAAGCUCCGUGUGACUUUUUCCUAUUCGGAAAAUUAAAAUUGGCAAUGAAAGGAAGAUAUUUUGAUGACAUAAAGUCCAUUGAAAAGGCGACGACCGACAUACUCAAGGCCAUCCCGGUUGACGAGCUAAAACACUCAUUCGAAUCACUUUUAAAUCGUGCAAAUCGUUGUAUUGAGUCGGAGGGAGACUAUUUUGAAUAAAUGCAAAGUUUCAUUCCAAA